rnacentral:rRNA from 1 species
AAAUUACGUGCCAGCAGUCGCGGUAAUACGUAGAAGACUAGUGUUAUUCAUGUUUAAUCGGUUUAAAGGGUACCUAGACGGUAAAUCAAGCUUUCUCAUAAGAAAUGGACUAAUUUACUAGAGUUACUUACGGUGGGGCUUUAAAGUACUGCUGGUGUAGAGAUGAAAUUCUAUAAUACCUUUUUUAAAAUAAUGGCACAGGUAUAGGCGAAGGCAUCCCCUUAUGUGAUAACUGACGUUGAGGGACGAAGGCUUUAUGUAACAAACAGGAUUAGAUACCCUAUUAGUUUAAGCAGAAAAUGAUGAAUGUCAUAGAUUAGAUGUAUAAGUUUAUUCUAUAAAUGAAAGUGUAAGCAUUCCACCUCAUGAGUAAUUUGGCAACAUUGGAAUUGAAAUCAUUAGACCGUUUCUGAAACCAGUAGUGAAGUAUGUUGUUUAAUUUGAUACCCCGCAAAAAACCUUACCACAACUUGAAUAUUUAUAUUUAUUAUUGUUUUUCUAUUAAUUUUCUUCAACCAAGAGAUAAGAGAGAUAUGAACCAGAGGAUUAUUCAACCAAGAGAAAAGAGAGAUAUGAACCAGAGGAUCAUAAAAAACCAGCUGAUUAUAAAAAACAGAAGAUCAUAAAAAACCAGCUGAUUAUAAAAAACCAGAUGAUUAUAAAGAACCAGAACCAGAAAAUUAAAAAAGAUUGAAAUGUAUAUGAUAACUUAAACAUGAACAACGCGUUACAUUGAAGAAAAUUAAUUAGAAGGCAAUAAGAUAUUUUUACAAGUGUUGCACGGCUGUCUUCAGUUAAUGUCG